rnacentral:rRNA from 1 species
AUGAACGCUGGCGGCGUGCCUAAUACAUGCAAGUCGAGCGAACGGACGAGAAGCUUGCUUCUCUGAUGUUAGCGGCGGACGGGUGAGUAACACGUGGAUAACCUACCUAUAAGACUGGGAUAACUUAGGGAAACCGGAGCUAAUACCGGAUAAUAUUUUGAACCGCAUGGUUCAAAAGUGAAAGACGGUCUUGCUGUCACUUAUAGAUGGAUCCGCGCUGCAUUAGCUAGUUGGUAAGGUAACGGCUUACCAAGGCAACGAUGCAUAGCCGACCUGAGAGGGUGAUCAGCCACACUGGAACUGAGACACGGUCCAGACUCCUACGGGAGGCAGCAGUAGGGAAUAUUGCACAAUGGGCGAAAGCCUGACGCAGCAACGCCGCGUGAGUGAUGAAGGUCUUCGGAUCGUAAAACUCUGUUAUUAGGAAAGAACAGCUGUGGAAGAAACUGUGCACAUCUUGACGGUACCUAAUCAGAAAGCCACGGCUAACUACGUG